UAAUUUAUGGUACAAAUUGUUAAAAAUUGAUAAUGAGUUAGGAAAAUAUUCCAUGAUGGGCAUGAUAAGCAUUAUGGGCAUUUUUAUUGGAAUUAUGGCAUGAGUAUGGCACAAAUAUUAGUAUAUCAUUUAUGUGUCAUAAAAUGUUGAGUGAUAAGAAUAACAAAAAGAAAGUAAAUGAAGGUUUUUGUUCAUUCUUUGUUCUUCAUAGCCGAAUUUGAGAGAGAUCAAAUAGGGGAGGAAACCCUUGAAUAUUCGGUCACUAGGAGGAGGAAAAUUGAAGGCGGUUCGGGUGUGGAUCUCGUCAGCAUAUCGUCACAAACAGGUGAGCCUUGAUGUGGGUGACUUGGAGCCGGAGGGGAUUCAGAGUGGCCAUGGUGAAUACUUUUGGGUUUGAAAAAGAGACUGGUUUUCUUAAGUUAUUUUUAAUUACUAUUUAAUUUUUGGGUUGUAAUAAGGCCAUUUUAACUUUAUUUUCUUCUUUGAUUUUCUGGGAUUAUAUUAUUUUAAACAACUUUAAAUUGAUGGAUAAUAAUUCAAA